GGCGUGCUUAACACAUGCAAGUCGAACGGUGACGACGGAGCUUGCUCUGUCUGAUCAGUGGCGAACGGGUGAGUAACACGUGAGUAACCUGCCCCCGACUCUGGAAUAACCGUGGGAAACGACGGCUAAUACCGGAUAUGAGACGCACGGGCAUCUGUGUGUCUGGAAAGAUUUAUCGGUCAGGGAUGGACUCGCGGCCUAUCAGCUUGUUGGUGGGGUAAUGGCCCACCAAGGCGACGACGGGUAGCCGGCCUGAGAGGGCGACCGGCCACACUGGGACUGAGAUACGGCCCAGACUCCUACGGGAGGCAGCAGUGGGGAAUAUUGCACAAUGGGCGCAAGCCUGAUGCAGCGACGCCGCGUGAGGGAUGAAGGCCUUCGGGUUGUAAACCUCUUUCAGCAGGGAAGAAGCGAAAGUGACGGUACCUGCAGAAGAAGCGCCGGCUAACUACGUGCCAGCAGCCGCGGUAAUACGUAGGGCGCAAGCGUUGUCCGGAAUUAUUGGGCGUAAAGAGCUCGUAGGCGGUUUGUCGCGUCUGCUGUGAAAACCUGAGGCUCAACCUCGGGCUUGCAGUGGGUACGGGCAGACUAGAGUGCGGUAGGGGUGACUGGAAUUCCUGGUGUAGCGGUGGAAUGCGCAGAUAUCAGGAGGAACACCGAUGGCGAANGCAGGUCACUGGGCCGCAACUGACGCUGAGGAGCGAAAGCAUGGGGAGCGAACAGGAUUAGAUACCCUGGUAGUCCAUGCCGUAAACGUUGGGCACUAGGUGUGGGGCUCAUUCCACGAGUUCCGUGCCGCAGCAAACGCAUUAAGUGCCCCGCCUGGGGAGUACGGCCGCAAGGCUAAAACUCAAAGAAAUUGACGGGGGCCCGCACAAGCGGCG
rnacentral:rRNA from 1 species